GGUGUCUUGGCUAUUGUGUCUUGGCUAAAGUGUCUUGGCUAAGGUGUCUUUGCUAAGGUGUCUUGGCUAAGGUGUCUUGGCUAAUGUGUCUUGGCUUAAGUGUCUUGGCUAAGGUGUCUUGGCUAAGGUGUCUUGGCUAAGGUGUCUUGGCUAAUGUGUCUUGGCUAAUGUGUCUUGGCUAAGGUGUCUUGGCUAAGGUGUCUUUGCUAAGGUGUCUUGGCUAAGGUGUCUUGGCUAAGGUGUCUUGGCUAAGGUGUCUCGGCUAAAGUGUCUUGGCUAAGGUGUCUUGGCUAAUGUGUCUUGGCUAAGGUGUCUUGGCUAAUGUGUCUUGGCUAAAGUGUCUUGGCUAAGGUGUCUUGGCUAAGGUGUCUUGGCUAAGGUGUCUUGGCUAAUGUGUCUUGGCUAAUGUGUCUUGGCUAAGGUGUCUUGGCUAAGGUGUCUUGGCUAAGGUGUCUUGGCUAAGGUGUCUUGGCUAAGGUGUCUCGGCUAAAGUGUCUUGGCUAAGGUGUCUUGGCUAAGGUGUCUUGGCUAAGGUGUCUUGGCUAAGGUGUCUUGGCUAAUGUGUCUCGGCUGAGGUGUCUUGGCUAAGGUGUCUUGGCUAAGGUGUCUUGGCUAAAGUGUCUUGGCUAAGGUGUCUUGGCUAAAGUGUCUUGGCUAAGGUGUCUUGGCUAAGGUGUCUUGGCUAAGGUGUCUUGGCUAAUGUGUCUUGGCUAAUGUGUCUCGGCUAAGGUGUCUUGGCUAAUGUGUCUUGGCUAAGGUGUCUUGGCUAAGGUGUCUUGGCUAAGGUGUCUUGGCUAAGGUGUCUUGGCUAAGGUGUCUUGGCUUAGGUGUCUUGGCUAAUGUGUCUUGGCUAAGGUGUCUUGGCUAAUGUGACUUGGCUAAUGUGUCUUGGCUAAGGUGUCUUGGCUAAUGUGUCUUGGCUAAGGUGUCUUGGCUAAUGUGACUUGGCUAAUGUGUCUUGGCUAAGGUGUCUUGGCUAAUGUGUCUUGGCUAUGGUGUCUUGGCUAAGGUGUCUUGGCUAAGGUGUCUUGGCUAAUGUGUCUUCACUAAUGUGUCUUGGCUAAUGUGUCUUGGCUA